rnacentral:lncRNA from 1 species
ACUGGUGUGAUCUCAUCACGGCCCUAAAACCAUUGCUCGGACCUAUGGGUUUUAUUAUAAUCUAAAAAAUACUAAGAUAUAACAUGUAAUGAAUCAAAAAUAUUUAUUUUAUUAAUAAUAUAAAUAUCAAUUACAUGAGUUUGGAAGAUAAAUUACAAUAAACAUCCUAUCGCAUCACAUAUACGAUUGGCUUGUAGGGCAAUUAUUCUUUCAAUCUUUCAUUUGCACUUAAAGCCAAUCACUCC